UUAUUUGGUUGAUGCCAAUUGUAACGCGGAGAGGUAAUAUCAUGACGAUGCAAUCCCAGAAUGCACCACGAACGACACCUAGAACGAUAUCCCGAACGAUAAUGGUACCUUUGGCUGAAGGUGCCACACCAAUAGAUACACAGAAUGUAAACGUACCAGAUUCUAGGACUACAGAUAUCGCUACUAUUACAUCAGCUCCAAGUACAAC